rnacentral:tRNA from 1 species
CGGGAUGUAGCGCAGCCUGGUAGCGCGUUUGCUUCGGGAGCAAAAGGCCCCGAGUUCGAAUCUCGGCAUCCCGACCA